GGCUUCCAACUGAAUGCCUAGAAAAAUUACUUUAGUGCCAGCACCGGUUUUAUCAUUUCAGAUUGGGACACCUAAGCUAUUGAAUAAUCAAAUGGUAUCCUUUAAACUACUUGAGAGUUUAGAAAUUGUUCUCUGUAGUAAGAAAAUCAUCCAAAUAAUGAAUGACUGUAGGACUUCUACAUGAAUUAGUAACCAGCAUAGUGUCUCUGAACAUAUCAAAAGCCUGGGCUGCUUUUUAAUCCAAAAGUGAGCUUGGUAAAGAAAUAGUAGCAGUUGUCCCACUUGAAGCCAUGUAGAUGCCAUAGUGUUGUUUGAAUAGUGACUUGUUUGAAUGUGUGUACGAAAUAUGCAGCGUGACUCAAAACCCCAUAUGAAAGCAUUAUAUAGUAUAGGGGAAGCCCUAAUACGAGCACGGCCAUCACGCAGGGGAGGGACACUACAGGGAACCAAAGGGCCAGGAAACAACCUUGUUUUCCUGGCACUAUAGAUUCCCUUUUAGAAAAAUAGAGUUUUAUUCCAGACCUCAAAGGAGUCAAUAUGGUCAAUAUCUGAAAGUUCUUUCUUUCAAAAUGGAAACCAUUGCUUUAAUUAUUUCAAACAUCAAACAGGGACACUGGAUCAGAUCUAUAAACUUAGAUGAUGCUUAUUACCAAAUUCCAGUCAACAUUACUUCAAAUUCCUUCUGUUUUAGGCUCUACCCUUGAACUGGCCAAGUCUCACCCAAAUGACUUAUUACUUAGGUCCCCCAGCCCCUGGAAAUGGGUGGGGGGUGGGGGCUGAGGACGACACGAGAUAAUAAUUGUGGGAUUUUGGUGCCAUCUACUAAACGGCACAUGCAGCCGUUUUUAUCAUUUGAGACUGAGACACCUGGGUUGAAUGUCCUUAAAGGGACACUAUAGUCACCAAAAGAAAUUUAAUGAAGCAGUUUUGAUGCCCCUGCAGCCUCACUGCUCAAUUGAAGCCGUUUAGGAGUUAAAUCACUUUGU